UGCCAUAUCAAUAAGCGGAGGAAAAGAAACUAACAAGGAUUCCCCUAGUAACGGCGAGUGAAGCGGGAAGAGCUCAAAUUUGAAAUCUGGCAGUCUUCGAUUGUCCGAGUUGUAAUCUAUAGAGGCGUUUUCCGUGCCGGACCGUGUCCAAGUCUCCUGGAAAGGAGUAUCAAAGAGGGUGAUAAUCCCGUACUUAACACGACCACCGGUGCUCUGUGAUACGUCUUCUACGAGUCGAGUGUUUGGGAAUAG
rnacentral:rRNA from 1 species